UUUCAUUACCCAUAUCCGACCCAACCCGCCCGUUUGCCACUCCUAAGUUGGAGUAACAACCUUGGGUACUAAGGUUCAAAUCCCAAUGAAGGUGACUCUGAGAAUUUCGCAUUUGCCCAAAUCUCGGUGGACGGUAUUAUUCGAUACUUGUACUGGUUGGAGGUAGCAAGUAUCUGGUACUUAAUCAAAGCGCGUAAGCGCGUAGUCUGGACAUGGCCAUGUUUGUGUGUAAUACACAAUCUCGACUAGCGAACUUGCACGAAAUUAGUUGUUCGCAAACAAGAAUAAGAUUGUUGUAUCUGGACUUUGUUGCGUAAUCAAUCAGCAAAGAAGUUUGAUAUUUUCACAUUGAAAUGGAAAAUCUCUGAAAAUUGUUUGGUAUUUUAAAUAAUUUUAUAAGCUAGGAAUCACAAGAGUUGCUCGAUGGUGGAUUGCUUGGCAUUUAUGAGAUGUGGAAAAAGUGCUGAGACUCAGCAAAGGGCAGAGCAGAAAUAGAUAGCUAAAGUACCCAUGGAUUGGAGGGACCUCAAACUUGAAAGGCUUAGCCAUGCUCUGGUUACUUUCGUGGAACAUACCAGGUCCGUGACUACUUAAAUGUUCUUGCUGAGAUAGAAUCUACUCUUUUCACUUUUUCUUAGGACUCUUCGUCCACAAAAGUAAAAAGUGCUACAUUGUCUUUUAAACCAUAUGCUUUAAAAUGUUGGUUAGGAUUAUCCUCCGGGUGCAAAACUUUGACCGUCAACUGAUACAAUUCAAAUUGAGACGUCUGAUUGAAGUCUUGGCUAAGCCUAAUGUGUAUGCACAAAAUUAGUUGUUCACAGACAACAAAUACGAUUACUAUAUCUGGAUUUUGCUGUGGAAUAAACCAGCAAUGCAGUUUGACAUUAUCACAUCGAAUUAGGAAAUCACUAAAGGUUUUUGUUGUUGUUUUAUUAAUUUUAAAGCGUUGGAAUCAAUAUAAAUUCUCCAUGGUGGGUUGCUUGGCAUUUAUGAGCUGCGGAAAGUGCUGAGGUUCAGCAAAUGGCAUAGCAGAAACAGAUACCUGAAGUACCCAUUGAAUCCGAGGGACCUCAAAAUUGAAAGGCUUAGCUGUGCUCUGGUAAUAUAUGUGGAGCAUGCCAGGUAUACGUUUUGGAGCCUCAAAAUUUUCAACUUCACGACAACAACAAUUUUCUUCGACUCUUUCACUUUUUCGCAGGACUCUACCCCCACAAAAGUAGAAAGUGCUACAUUACUUUUAUAAACUAUAUGUUUUGAAUACCUAAUAAAAAAACUGUAUGCUAUGGAAUACUGGUUUGGAUUAGCCUUCCUUUGACGGUCAACUGAUACUUUAAAAGGACAUCUUUGUUGAAGUCCUGAAAAAGUAAUUGUACAUGAUUUAGAAGGAAGUAUAAGAUAGUAGAACACCUUGAAUAUCCUGCUGUUAAUCAUGUAAAACUUUAUAAUUCCUACCCAUUUCAAGUAACAUCAACCAUAUCUGGAUAAGGAAUAUCUCGAGCAAUCUGAAUUUUUUGUCUGUUAUUCUGGAUGCGAAUAAUAUUGGUCAUGACACAUUGAAGAGUAUUCCUUUUCUUUGCUAGUGAGUUGUGAGAUGGAUAAAAGUUCUUGUGUUCAACGAAUAGCAGAGCAGAAUCGGAUACUAAAAGUACCCAAUGAUCGGAAAAAGGCCUAAAAGUGGACAUCCAAGCCAUUCUUGGAUGAAAUUUCUUAGCCACAAAGUUCUUACCUUCAUGACAUUUUCAUUUUAUUCCUCGAUAACCUGUAAUUGCCUUGUUACUUUUUCUAUGACUACUUCACAUCAGAAAAAGUAAAAGUACAAUAUGCUAUCCUUCUGUGUCCUGUUCAAUCAGUUGCAUAUGUUGAGUGCCUGGUAUCAGCUCAAGACUGAUAAAAAGACAUUGUGUUUUGAUUACUGAUACUGUUGAGCCCAUGGAAUACUCUUCGUUUUAUGCUACACGGUUUACUCUGAUCUGAAAAUAUAAUUAACUGGAUCACAUAGGAUUGCUAAAGAUAGAUAAGCAAUUUAUUAGCCUGCAAACAAGUAUGAAGACAUCAGCAAGUAUUUUUUUAUAUUUGUGGUUAACUGUUUUGGUAGUAAAUAGAGUAUGCAGGCAUAAGUGAGCUGACUAAUGGUUGAGAAUCUUUAAAACAACCCAGAGUCAUGUCUGCCUGAUGUAGAAGGAGAGAAUUCUAUUCUAAGCUACAUCUUUAUAGGGCUUGUUUGUAAUGCAGUUGUAUAAGAUUCAUAUUUCCUUUUUCCGUUUUGAUUUCUGUUAAACAAAAAAGUAUCCUGCAAUUGAACCUGCGAUACUGUGUAGUAAAAUCAUAGAGAAUUUCGCAUUUGCCUAAAUCUCAGUGGACGGAAUUAUCCGAUACGCGUACUGGUUGGAGGUAGCAAGUAUCUGGUACUUAAUCAAUGUGCGUAGUCUGGACAUGGCCAUGUGUGUGUGUAAGACACAAUCUCGACUAGCGAACUUGCACGAAAUUAGUUGUUCACAAACAAGAAUAAGAUUGUUGUAUCUGGACUUUGUAGCAUAAUCAAUCAGCCAUGAAGUUUGAUAUUUUCACAUUGAAAUGGAAAAUCUCUAAAAAUUGUUUGGUUUUUUAAAUAAUUGUGUAAGCUAGGAAUCACAAGUGUUGCUCCAUGGUGGAUUGCUUGGCAUUUAUGAGAUGUAGAAAAAGGUCUGAGACUCAGCAAAUGGCAGAGCAGAAAUAGAUAGCUAAAGUACCCAUGGAAUUGGAGGGACCUCGAACUUGAAAGGCUUACCCAUGCUCUGGUUACUUUCGUGGAACAUACCAGGUCCAUGACAACUUAAAUGUUCUUGCUGAGAUAGAAUCUACUCUUUUCACUUUUUCUUAGGACUCUUCGUCCACAAAAGUAAAAAGUGCUACAUUGUCUUUUAAACCAUAUGCUUUAAAAUGUUGGUCAGGAUCCGGGUGCAAAACUUUGACCAUCAAUUGAUAUAAUUCAAAUUGAGACGUCAGAUUGAAGUCUUGCCUAAGCCUAAUGUGUGGCUUCGUUAUUUUACAUAUACUUAAAACAACAACCUGCAAAAUUAUCUUUAGUUAAAAUGAUUUUCUUCUGCCCCUAGCGGUCUAGGAGUUAGGGUUACAACCUUACUAAGGUUCAAACUCCAGCAGAGAUGACAUUACAUGAAUUCUUCACACUUGCAUUAAUCUUGAUGGGCAGAAUUAUUUGAUACAUGUGCUGGUGGGAGAAGGUGGAGUUGAGCAGUCUGGACGCCAUCUUUUUUUUUUUUUUUUGUGUGUGUGUGUGUAAGAUACAAUCUCGUCCACUGAACUUGCACAAAAUUAGUUGUCACAGAUAACAAAUACUGUUAGUAUUUCUGGAUUUUGCUGUGGAAUAAACCAGCAAGGCAGUUUGAUACUUUCACAUUGAAUUAGGAAAUCACUAAAGGUUUUCUUUGUUGCUUUAUUAAAUUUUAAAGCGUUGGAAUCAAUAGAUUCUCCAUGGUGGAUUGUUUGGCAUUUAUGAGCUGUGGAAAAAGUGCUGAGGUUCAGCAAAUGGCAUAGCAGAAACAGAUACCUGAAGUACCCAUUGAGUCAGAGGGACCUCAAACUUGAAUGGCUUAGCUGUGCUCUGGUGACUUAUGUGGAACAUACCAGUGAGUUGUGAGAUGCAUAAAAGUUCUUGUGUUCAACGAAUAGCAGAGCAGAAUCGGAUACUAAAAGUACCCAUUGAUCGGAAAAAGGCUGACAAGUGGACAUCCAAGACAUUCUUGGAUAAAUUUCUUAGCCACAAAGUUCUUACCUUCAUGACAUUUUUAUUUUAUUCCUCGAUAACCUGUAAUUGCCUUGUUACUUUUUCUAUGACUACUUCACAUCAGAAAAAGUAGAAGUACAAUAUGCUAUCCUUCUCUGUCCUGUACAAUCAGUUGCAUAUAUUGAGUGCCUGGUAUCAGCUCAAGACUGAUAAAAAGACAUUGUGUUUUGAUUACUGAUACUGUUGAGCCCAUGGAA